GAAUGAGGUAAAUGGGCUACAAUCCUCAAGCAGUGCAAUCGUAAACGAAGAAGACAUAGGAAAACAAUUGUACUCAAAUAUCAGUCACAAACAUGAAUCGACCAGAUACCUUAUUCCCAAACCGUCCCCAAUACCUUUUGAUUUUUGUUACCUAUUGCAAACAAACAAUGAUGCACAAAAUAGAUGUGGAUCGAACAGAAAAGAAACGAAAU
rnacentral:lncRNA from 1 species